UGAUUAGGUACGGCUAAUACCUAAAUUGAAUACGCUUCCUCGUCAUAUACUUAGCUUCCUCCUCACACACUUGUCUCCUCCCAACCGAACACCUUAACACCACCCUUUCUCCAUCUCUACACCACUAAUCGGUCCUUCAUCUCCAUCUCUCCUGUCGCAACACCGUCAUCACCGGCCAACCUCGCCUCGCCUCGCACCUCCAAUAAUUCAACCAACCUGAAAAUCCCACCACCGGACCAUCAUCAUCAUACAAAUUAACCACACUUGCGGUUCAAAUUUAAAGGAAAAACAAGGACAGAAAUACAAAGGAACUACAACUGUUCAUGAAGGAUAAGGAAGUGUUUUGGCUGUGAUCAAGAUGCAAAAUCAAAUGAAAAUGUUGUUGCCAUGUGGUCUUCCACCAGAGAGAGAGAAGAGGAAUAAGGCAAUGAGGAUUUUCAUGGGGAGAUUUACUAUGAUUGCAUUAUGAAAAAAUUGUGUAGUAUCAACCUGAUGCGAGGAUAAAAAACUAUGUUGAGUUUUUGAUGUUUAUGUUACAUGUAAUAUGUUCUAUAUUAUACAAAGUCAUGUUUUAGUGAUGAACAUUAAUCUUUGUGUAUUUUAUGGGGUGGUUAUGUUGGUAAGUGUCACGUUGUAAGUGAUGAACAUUAA